rnacentral:tRNA from 1 species
GCUCUAGUAGCUUAAUUCAAAAGCACCGGUUUUGUAAUCCGAAGAUUGGAGGUCAAAUUCCUCCCUAGCGCC